rnacentral:tRNA from 2 species
AGUAAAAUAAGCUAAUCAAGCUCCUGGGCCCAUACCCCAGAUAUGCCGGUGAAACCCCCGCUUUUACUA